UACAGAGGGGGCGAGCGUUAUUCGGAAUUAUUGGGCGUAAAGGGCGCGUAGGCGGCUUUUCAAGUGACGGGUGAAAUCCCUCGGCUUAACCGAGGAACUGCCUGUCAGACUGGAAGGCUUGAGACCGGGAGAGGUGAGUGGAAUUCCCAGUGUAGCGGUGAAAUGCGUAGAUAUUAGGAAGAACACCAGUGGCGAAGGCGGCUCACUGGCUCGGUACUGACGCUGAGGCGCGAAAGCGUGGGGAGCAAACAGG
rnacentral:rRNA from 1 species